rnacentral:rRNA from 1 species
UACAACUUUCAGCAACGGAUCUCUUGGCUCUCGCAUCGAUGAAGAACGCAGCGAAAUGCGAUAAGUAAUGUGAAUUGCAGAAUUCAGUGAAUCAUCGAAUCUUUGAACGCACCUUGCGCUCCUUGGUAUUCCGAGGAGCAUGCCUGUUUGAGUGUCAUUAAAUUCUCAAA